rnacentral:rRNA from 1 species
GAUGAACGCUGGCGGCGUGCCUAAUACAUGCAAGUCGAGCGAACGGACGAGAAGCUUGCAUCUCUGAUGUUAGCGGCGGACGGGUGAGUAACACGUGGAUAACCUACCUAUAAGACUGGGAUAACUUCGGGAAACCGGAGCUAAUACCGGAUGAUAUUUUGAACCGCAUGGUUCAAAAGUGAAAGACGGUCUUGCUGUCACUUAUAGAUGGAUCCGCGCUGCAUUAGCUAGUUGGUAAGGUAACGGCUUACCAAGGCAACGAUGCAUAGCCGACCUGAGAGGGUGAUCGGCCACCCUGGAACUGAGACACGGUCCAGACUCCUACGGGAGGCAGCAGUAGGGAAUCUUCCGCAAUGGGCGAAAGCCUGACGGAGCAACGCCGCGUGAGUGAUGAAGGUCUUCGGAUCGUAAAACUCUGUUAUUAGGGAAGAACAUAUGUGUAAGUAACUGUGCACAUCUUGACGGUACCUAAUCAGAAAGCCACGGCUAACUACGUG